AGUCAUGUGAAUGGGUCUCCAUGGUUUAUGCAUCCCUCCUUACUUUCAGACAUUUCUGACCUCCUUUACGGCAGCUCUGUCUUCUCUGAACCCCUGUGCUGUUUUCCAAGGCUCUUAUCAACCCAAGGAGGAAACACAGUAUGAACACAAGUUUUCAGAAAAGAAACUUAAGAGCCUGUUGGUGAUCAAAGGGGGACUAGGACUCAGGUUUCUGCUGGAUCCUGUUGUCUCCGUUGCUCUUGCUCCAGACUCUAAUCCAAGGUUUCCUUUAACAACAAAUUCUGAACAGCACCAGAAUAUGGGUAAGUUAAUUGGUCAUGAUGCUGGAGCGGACAGGCAGGCUGGGCCUAAACGACUGCAGAAGCCUUGUGAAUCACGGAGCAAGCCAGAAUCUCCCACCUGGCUCAUUCACUCAGGGCUCCAGAGCCCCAUUACCAUCGCUUGUCAGCCACGGGUUGGCUGGGGGUCAGAUCUUCGCCGACAAAGCACCCUGAGAAAUUCUU
rnacentral:lncRNA from 1 species